rnacentral:rRNA from 1 species
UACGUAGGGUGCAAGCGUUAAUCGGAAUUACUGGGCGUAAAGCGUGCGCAGGCGGUUUUGUAAGUCUGAUGUGAAAUCCCCGGGCUCAACCUGGGAAUUGCAUUGGAGACUGCAAGGCUAGAAUCUGGCAGAGGGGGGUAGAAUUCCACGUGUAGCAGUGAAAUGCGUAGAUAUGUGGAGGAACACCGAUGGCGAAGGCAGCCCCCUGGGUCAAGAUUGACGCUCAUGCACGAAAGCGUGGGGAGCAAACGGG